GACGGACGCACGGAAGGGCGGACCGCGGGACGGCCGGCGGAGCUGGUGGUUCAAUAUGUACCAGCACAUCACUAAAUUCAUCCCCAGGAGUUCAACAGAAAAUUCUGGGCUUUUCGAGAACUGGGAUGACAGAGAGCUUAAAAGUACAGAUUUUGGACCAGACCCAGGUUCAAGUCUCAACUCUGCCACUUUGCAGAUAAUGUAAGAAGCCUCAGUAUGCCAACCUGAACAGUGGGCUAAAGAUAUCACAGCCCCCAGAAGACGCACGUAAGGAUGAAAUGAGGUGAUGCCCGCUCAGCACAUGUGAAAUCUCAUUCUCAUUCAUACCCUACACGCUCUUAUCAGAGAGGAGGCAACUCAGACAAGUAAGGGUUCUGCAGGCAGAUGCAGCUUCGCACCUGAAGCUACCGCCGGCUUCAAGGGCCUGGCUCAGCGGCUGAGGUUCUCAGGAGGAUGUGGCCAGCACAAUGGUUUCAUUAUUGAGCGUUUGAAGCGCUCUUUAUUUUUAAUCACCCCUCUGGGCUUUUGCUCAGGCUGUAACCCCUGCCAGGAAUGCUCAGCCCCUGUCCCUGGCUACCUCGCCUUGUUCUUCAAAGUCCAGAGUAAAUGCCACCUUCUCCACAACAUGCUUCCUGACACACCCUGAUGGAGGCACGUGCCAAGUCCAUUCUGAGUGUGUCUGUCCCCACCCUGAGGGCAGUGACCAAGGCCUGGCCCAUGCCCAGCACAGAGCAGGCACUGCCCAGUUGGCCAGGCAGCAUACACUGACUUAGGACCUACAGACAAGAGUUCAAGUUCCAGCUCUUCCCUUCAGUGACUAUGUGAACCUGCCUUCUCUGGGCCUCAGUGUACUCAUCAGUAAAACGAGGGUAACAACCCUGGCAAGCUCCAGGAUUAUGCAGUUGGGAGUUGCGGGUCUGGCCUGGUGGAUAAGUGACUCUUUGUGCAAAUUAUUUUGCUUAAAACAUUCUUUGUUGGUAAAGCAGCAACUCACUGCUUAAUUCCUGCAAAUCAUCAUUAAUGGACAGCAAGCAUUUAUUGACUACCAACUGUAUACAUGGCCCCAGACCAGUCUUAGAACACCAACAGGAACCACUUCCCAACCCAAAAGCACCCAGCAGAUGAUAGAUGCUACUGACGUCAAUGUUGCUGAGAUGAGAUGGGAUUUCAUUCUGACACCCAGACUGGAAU